rnacentral:rRNA from 1 species
UACGGAGGGAGCUAGCGUUGUUCGGAAUUACUGGGCGUAAAGCGCACGUAGGCGGCUUUUUAAGUCAGGGGUGAAAUCCCGGGGCUCAACCCCGGAACUGCCUUUGAAACUGGAGAGCUAGAAUCUUGGAGAGGCGAGUGGAAUUCCGAGUGUAGAGGUGAAAUUCGUAGAUAUUGGGAAGAACACCGGUGGCGAAGGCGGCUCUCUGGACCGAUACUGACGCUGAGGCGCGAAAGCGUGGGGAGCAAACAGG